rnacentral:rRNA from 1 species
UACGUAGGGUGCAAGCGUUAAUCGGAAUUACUGGGCGUAAAGCGUGCGCAGGCGGUUUUGUAAGUCUGUCGUGAAAUCCCCGGGCUCAACCUGGGAAUUGCGAUGGAGACUGCAAGGCUAGAAUCUGGCAGAGGGGGGUAGAAUUCCACGUGUAGCAGUGAAAUGCGUAGAGAUGUGGAGGAACACCGAUGGCGAAGGCAGCCCCCUGGGUCAAGAUUGACACUCAUGCACGAAAGCGUGGGGAGCGAACAGG